AACGAACGCUGGCGGCAGGCCUAAUACAUGCAAGUCGAACGCACCGCAAGGUGAGUGGCAGACGGGUGAGUAACGCGUGGGAAUCUUCCUUGCAGUACGGAAUAACUCCGGGAAAGCGGGUCGAAUACCGUAUACGGCCUUCGGUCGACAGAUUUAUCUCUGCCAGAUGAGCCCGCGUCGGAUUAGCUAGUUGGUGGGGUAACGGCCUACCAAGGCGACGAUCCGUAGCUGGUCUGAGAGGAUGAUCAGCCACACUGGGACUGAGACACGGCCCAGACUCCUGCGGGAGGCAGCAGUAGGGAAUAUUGGACAAUGGGCGCAAGCCUGAUCCAGCCAUGCCGCGUGAGUGAAGAAGGCCUUAGGGUUGUAAAGCUCUUUUGGCGGGGAAGAUAAUGACGGUACCCGCAGAAUAAGCUCCGGCUAACUGCGUGCCAGCCGCCGCGGUAA
rnacentral:rRNA from 1 species